rnacentral:lncRNA from 1 species
AGGCGGAGCUUGCAGUGAGCCGAGAUCGUGCCAUUGCACAACAGCCUGGGCACUCCAGCCUGGGCAAAAAACAAACAAAAAAACAAAACACACACACACACCCACACACACACACACGGGUUCAGAAAUCACAGGAAUCACUGCCAUAUUCCAUUGACUAAAACAGUCCUGGGGGCAGCCCACAUUCAAAGGGAAUAGACUCUGCUUCCUGUUGGGGAGUGGCCAGUUCAUUUUGCAGAUGAGAAUGUGAGUGGGGAGAUAUUGUCGCAGUCAUCUUUUGAUAAUACCGCCUGUUGCAUCCACAUGUAUGAAAGGAGGGUGGGGAUGAAUUUCCCUGGGGCCAUCCUUAACCAACAAGGGUGGAAUUGGUGGAUAAAUGGUCCCUGUCCUUCAGAUGGACAAAUCUGAGGUGUAUUCUACAGGUUUUUCAGGGGAGGUCUAGUGGGAUUAAGCCCCAGUUGCCCACAGUUGAAACAGCUCUAAAAUGAACAUGUAUGACCUUUUCCUCUUUCCCCAUGUUUACCUCUACAUCCCUUUCUGCUACUUCUUCUGACCAUCUCCCAGUUCUAGCCUUAGGCCUUGUUUUCCUGGAAAAUCAAACCAAAACAUUUAUUACCUCAUUUGGAAAAGGCCCUUAAAUUGAGGCCUGUAAAAUAUUGCACCUGGCUCCCUGCUGUUGCGUAAUCCCACCCAGGAAUGGGUGUGAAAGGGCUUUAUGAACUGAGAGGCUGGGCCCGGUGUGCAGGGUUGCUGGGAGCAGAGUACUGCCCUGCAGAUUCAAGUGACUUGGCACAAGAUAAGGUGACUCACCAGGCCAACUCAGCCUGCCACAAGGGCCCUCAAGAUCAUCCACCUGGCCUUGUGGGGACUCGCCCUUCUGGAACAAGCCUUGCCCCCUGAUUUGGCCUCUGCCCCAGGAAGAGAGGGACUGAAUUACCAGUAGGAGGGGCCAGGCCUCUAGUUCAUUUACCCUCCAUUUAGUAAACAUGGAAAAGCUGGGCCCCUCUCCACACUGGGCUCCCAGGAAUCUGAAGGUGGACAAGCUACUCCCUGUGCCCUUUAGCGGCUCCCAGUCAGGGGAGGAGGCAUAAGACCAGGAGGCAGGGAGCUGGAACAACAUCAGAACAGCUCGGUGGGAGAGAGGCAGCUUACUGAGGAAGGGGCUCUGGAACACAGAGGAGGAGCACCUGGCCCAGAAUCCGGGAGGGCUACAGGUAAUUGUGGAAGUCUUCCCAGAGAAGGUGAUAUCCAUAUCUAAUCCCACUAGGUCUCAGGACUUACCCAGGAGAGAGAGAGGAAGGGCAUCAGGGCAGAGGAAACAGCAACGGCAAAGUGGCUGGAGCCCAGAGAGGUGGGAAAGGAGAGGAGGCUGAAGAGAGAGGUGGGGCGGGGGGGAGGGGGUGGAAGAGCAAUGGGGAGCCCCUGAGGAGUUUAAAACAGAAAAGAAAUGGGUCAGGUUUGAGUUUAGGUUGCUGGCUACAGUAAUGGCCAGGUAGAAAGGGAGUCAGUAUUAGAGGCAGGGAGACCAGCAGAUGGGGCUCAUUCAUUCAUUCAACAAAUAUCUGUGGACCCCCUACCAGGUGCCAGGCCCUACGCUGUUGUGGGAGAUCCAGGUGAGGGGCCAGGUGGCCUGGACCCUGGUGAUGGGGCCAUGAUGGAUAGACGGGACAGAGAUCUUAGGGAGGGGUUUUCACUGUGAAAUACAUCCUGACAAUUCACGAGUUGUCAUUGGUUCCUGGACCAGUUGUGCAUGAAUUUGGAAACCGGGAACCUGUUAUUUCAAGAAUGGAGAGAUGAAUGGCAGAGCUGAGACCAAACCUCAGGGGCCUCAUUUCUGGAGGCCCCACCCAGAGCUGUGCAGCCCAGCUUGCCUGUCCCUCCCCACCACUCUACCCCAGACUUAUGAGAGCUUCAGAUGCAAUGGUGGCUGCUGAUUACCUUGCCUGGCUCUUUCCAGUCAGGAGGUGAAACCCAAACAUCCUGGUUUCUCUUCAUCACCUCUGGCAGGGAGCUAAAUGUCUCCUCCAGGAUCAUGCAGGAGAUAAGAAGCCCAGCUGGGACCCUGAGGGUCUUUCUGUGCUCUCCUCCUUGUCAGAUUAGACUCCUUGAAGGGAGACGCUGUCUCUCACCUCCAUCAGACUCUGGGUUCUCUGAAGAUGUCUCCCCUGUCAGAUCAGAAACUUAGAGGGUAGAAUGAGGAAUGAGAAUGCAAGUCAGGGAAGCUGCUUUGCUGCCAGUUAAUAGUUGUUUCAGCUUGGAAAAAAUCCUAUAUUUGCCUCAAUUUCCUCAUUGUAAAAUGAGGAUAAUGAUACAUAGGUGCUCAGUAAACAUUAGUGGAACAAAUAAUGGAGAGCCCAGGUGGUGCUGGUGGAGAGCAGGUGCUGGUUUACUAGGACAGCGGAGAAGCCUGCUGGGAAUGGAGCCCUGGGGCCUAUGAAAGGAGGAGUGCUGCCUCCACGAGGACCCCAGCAAGUCGCCAGAUCUCACCAAUCCAAUUAUCUCUGCCUUGCAUUAGAAAUACAGCAAUGACGGCCGGGCACGGUGGCUCACGCCUGUAAUCCCAGCACUUUGGGAGGCCGAGGUGGGCGGAUCACCUGAGGUCAGGUGUUCAAGACUAGCCUGGCUAACAUAGUGAAACCCUGUCUCUAUUGAAAAAUACAAAAUUUAGCUGGGCGUGGUGGCUCACACUUGUAGUCCCAGCUACUCGGGAGCUAAGGCAGGAGAAUCACUUGAACCGGGAGGUGGAGGUUGCAGUGAGCUGAGAUCAUGCCACUGCACUCCAGCCUGGGGAAGAGUGAAACUCGGUCUCAAAAAACAACAACAAAACAUCAAUGACUUCAACAGAAGGAUUUCCCUGCUAGUGUUAUCUCCAGUGACUUCCCACCCAUCUGCCACUCCUCCGCCACUCGCCAGCCUCCUCCACCGGCCCCACUCCCAUCCACCCUAUAGCUCCCCGGACUGUGAUGGAAUGUUCCCCAUGCCUCCACAUGGUACCCCUCCCCUGCUCAUGACCCCUGGGGAACUUGAGGCCUCCUGGGCCCCACCCUUUGCUCUAGCUGCUGCCCUACCUCCCAUCUCUUACUCAGAAAGCUCCAGACUAACCCUGGCCACAGUGACCCAAGGCCACACCUCCACCCAAUCUUGGGUCUGUGCUUUAUCAUCUGUGAACACAGUUCUGCAAAACUGUGCCUCAGUCCAGCUGGGUGCCCUUAGGAAGUCAUGCUCCCCAAGCUCUCGUCUCAACUGUAGAUGGGCCAAAUAACCUGGGCUAUGUUUGUCAAUGGGGUUUGUGAACAGGCCAAGUGCUGAAUAAAGGUGGGGCUUACAGUGUUAUGGAACUGUUAUUGCCUUGAGGCUGAAUGUGAUUAAAGCAAAACCGGAGAACCUUGGACCUGUGUGUGAUGGCAGGAGAGGGGUCGGGGGGAGCAGAAAGAGGGCAAGAGGGAGUGAUGUUGGCAGAGGGAGGGAUGGUGUCGUUGCAGAAUUGGCUGGUAAAUACAUAUAAUCCUUUGUAAACACAUCCAUGCCCUCAUGAAAAAUGUGGUUCACUCCGGAAAUCAUACUUUUUUUUUUUUUUCCAAUGAACUCAGAAAUCAUCCUUUCUGGUGCUGAGCCCUGAAAUGGUCAUAGAAGGGGCCAGUCCCCAAACAGCUGAAGCCUGACAAAGCCUCCCUUUAGACAGAUGGAGACAGAUGCCCGGCUGAGCCUGGCUCCAUUCUUCCUUCACAUUCUUUCCAGUCCACAGUGCCCACGCUCAGGCUCUACAUUUCCUGCCCACCCCUUGAGUUGAGAAGGCUUGAGCUUCGCUCAAGUUCUCUGGUCCACCUACCUGGAGACAGGAGCCCUUUCCAGAGAUGUUGGGUGUGCCACAAAACCACAGGUAGUCUUUUUCAUCUCAUCACAGUGGUAGAGGGGACAGGAGCUGGGCUGCCUGGGUUUGAAUCUAGUCUCACCAUUUUUACUGAGAUUUUGCACAAGGCAACUUCUCUGUGCCUGUUUCCUCGUCUAUAAAAUGGAGAUGUACUGAUGCCCUCUCAGGGUUCUUGCCAGGUCAAAUGAGUCCACUCACGUAUUAUUCAGUGCAAGCAUUUAGUGCCUGACAAAGUGGUGAGUGACAUGCGUUUGCCAUGAUCACCCCGCCUCUCCCCUUGCUCCUCCCACUCCUUCCUGAUUCUCAAACCUCUACUGCAAUGUUCCUCCCGCGUCCUUACCUCCCCACAGAGGCCUGCCUCUCCCCGCUCUCUUCAUCUCUUUUCAUUCUUUUCUCCCCUCCAGACCAUCCAAUCCUCUUAUCAGUCUGUCCUGAGUCCUCUCUAUCUUCUGUGGAUGCGCCCAGGCUCCCCUGCUGCUCAGAGGCCAGAAGCCAACCCCUCUCUAACCUGACCCACACACAGCACACACCAAGCUGGCCUGUCCACCUCAUGUUUUAUUGUAAAAAUGUUAAAAUAAAUUACAUUUGAC